rnacentral:lncRNA from 1 species
AUGAUGAUGAUGAUGUGUCGGAGUCCGAUAGGGUGGAGACAAGGACUUUCUUUUUCUUGUACUUGCUCCCCUUCUUCAGCAAAGGACACUCAGCUCUGAAGUGCCCCGGCUUCUUACACUCAUAACAUCCAAUCCCCUCAUUUUCUCUUUCCUUACCUUUAUCCUUGUGAUAGGAAUUUGAGGGGCCUCUCCUUUAAUGAGAGGACUUCUUCCGGUUGAUGAAUCUUCAGAAUUUUCUUACAGGGAGUGCCUCAUCAUCAUCUCCCUCAUUGUCUUCCUCUUCACUGCUACUGCUGCAAGACACAUCUUUGUUAGUGGAAACAGAUUUUAGUGCUAUUACCUUUUUCUUGUGAGAGGACUCUUCUUGAUUGUGUUGUUUCAUUGUUAGCUCAUGCGUCAUGAGGGAUCCAAGUAGCUCCUCGAGUGGCAGCUUGUUUAAAUCCUUAGCCUCUUGGAUUGCCGUCACCUUGGCUUCCCAUGACCUUGGUAGACAACGAAGAAUCUUCCUGACAAGCUCACUGUUAGUAUAAUUUUUGCCAAGGCUUUUUAGGCCAUUGACAAUGUCAGUAAAUCUAGUGAACAUGC